GCGAGUCCGCGACCCGCGGCCGCCAGUCCGCGACCGCGAGUGCUGUUUUUUUGGGCAAAUCGUUCGCGAACCGCGAAUAAUUCGCGGAUAAUUAUUUUUGACGAAAAAAACGCGAUUUUUUUCGAAUUUUUUGGAAAAAUAUGGAAACGGACGUUUAAUUCGUAUCUUCAAAAAUUCGCGAAUAAUUCGCGAAUUAUUCACGAAUUUACUAACAGAGAUUAUAUAUAUAGAGUUGGACUGGAAUAACAUUAAUAGUAAAAGACUCUUUUUGCUAUCAAGUUUUUUUGGAUAAAAAAUUGUAAAGUUAGGAUGAUAUUAGUCCCUUAGGGUUGAGUGGUCCCCACUGGGUUAUAAUAUUUAAUUCAAUGGUUAAAAAUUAUGAAAGGAAUUGAUCUAAAGGCUAAAAAUUUGAUAGCAAAAAGGAGCUUUUGCUAUUAAUAGUAUUCUAGCCCCUCUCUCUCUCUCUCUCUCUCUCUCUCUCUCUCUCUC
rnacentral:lncRNA from 1 species